rnacentral:lncRNA from 1 species
CUUGGAAACCCACAUGAUAGGCCUCAUUCUUUGCCAAUGCAUUUUCUUUUUCGACGGUUAAGGUUUGAAUGUCCCUUUUUAUCUAAUGUCACUUUGUUUAAGUUUUUUAUGAGAUAUUUUCUCCAGUAAAUUUUCAUAGAGGGUCAACAAUAUUCGGUAUAUAACCUCAUUUUUAGAAGUUUAUGUCAGUAGUAUAUGGCAUACGGCAUAUAAUUCCCGUUCGA